UACGUAGGGUGCGAGCGUUAAUCGGAAUUACUGGGCGUAAAGCGUGCGCAGGCGGUUAUGUAAGACAGGUGUGAAAUCCCCGGGCUUAACCUGGGAACUGCAUUUGUGACUGCAUAGCUAGAGUACGGUAGAGGGGGAUGGAAUUCCGCGUGUAGCAGUGAAAUGCGUAGAUAUGACGGAGGAACACCGAUGGCGAAGGCAAUCCCCUGGACCUGUACUGACGCUCAUGCACGAAAGCGUGGGGAGCAAACAGG
rnacentral:rRNA from 1 species